UCCCAUAUUUUCUCUCUCUAUAAAAUAUUUUCUGAUCUUGCUUUGUGGAAGCUUGUGUUUUGUUUUGGAUCAAUUGAUUCGAAUUUUCAAUAUUCUUUUGUGUUGUUUGAUCUAAUAAAACAAGUUGUUAGUAGAGAACGAAACACUAGUUUUUGUUUGAUUCUUCCAAGAUGUUUGCUGGUUUUUGUCUUGUUACACACACAUACAUAUAUAUAUAUAUAUAUAUAUAAUAACAAUUUUAAAAAUACUUUGUUACUUUUUCAAAGCUAAAAUUGCAAUAUUUUUGGUUCUUCGAAGCAAGAAUACUUCUAAUACGCUGCCGGAAACAUUUUCUGUUCAGAUCUAAUUUGUAAUUUUUUGAAGAGAUCAGAUGGAUGCUCUGAUUCAUCUUUCUCUGAAAUUUUCACUUGAUUUUUUCUUCAAUGAUCAAUAGUUUGAGAGAUGCCUCUUGUGUACUGAUGAAGGGUAUUACCCUUACCCUGAAUAAAUAAAUUCAAAAGUUAGCUUUUUUUUUUU